rnacentral:lncRNA from 1 species
CAUCUCGCAGGCUGCCGGACGUCUCCGAGUUCAGCCCUGUGGCCGAGUCGUGGCUGACCUUUUCCGAUUUUCGAUUUUUAAGAACUUUAUUUUCUUUUCACAAAAAAAUACAGGACAUCACAAAUCAGAAAGCUUUACAUUAAUAUACAUACUUAAAACAGUAUAUAUGAUCACAUCUCAUUACAUUUUGACACGGUACCAGUUACAUAGCAACAAUUUUCUUUUUUUUCUGGUGCAAAUCACAUUCUUUACUUAAACAUGAUCAUGUUUUCCACAGUUUCUUGAGAUAUUGACCUAUGCUCUCUAUUUCCCACAGAUUUUCUGCUUCCUCCCUCCCUUCUCUCCACAGAUCUCUGAGGGCGUCUUUCCCACUGUUCACCACGGCCCAGAUCCUGUCAAACACGUCAGGAGGAAGUUUGACAGGAGAGAUGCCGUAUAUGACGAAAGCAGUGGUCAGGGUAAAUUGGGGCGAGAGAGCCUGCAACCAAUCUUCAAACUGUGCCCAGAAGGCCUUAGCAAAAAAGCAGGACCACAGGAGAUGGGUCACAGUCUCCUCCUCGCCGCAGCCCACCCUAACGCAGCGAGGGCUGGGGGUGAGGCCCCUACGGUACAAGAAAGUUCGUACCGGUAAGCACUGGUGGACGACACUCCAGGCUAAAUCUCUGUGAAUGUUGCACAGAAAUUUAGAGGAUGUGUGUUUCCACACCUUCCUUGUUUGGGCUGAUGUUAAAAUGCCCACAGGGGUCUGCCUAUUGUUCUGGGGUGCAACAAAAUCUUCCAGUUUUUGGACGCUGACAUCUCGGAGGGGAAUAUGGCCAAUUGGGUGAGAUCUUAGAAAACUAAGGCUGACCUUUUCCCCCGGCGUUGCGGAUGCAAUAUCU